GCCGCGUGGCUGCCUCAGUUGUGCCUCGCGCCAGGCAGCUGUCGGCGCCCCGUUUCCGGCGGAGUUCGGCACCCAUGAGCGCUGGGGUUCUCUGGCGGUCCGUGCCCGGCUGGGAGCCCGGGCCAAAGCCCGCGCCCGCUGCGGCGGGGUCGCUCACGGCGCCGCACGCUCCGGAAAGCCGCCGUGACGGGGCGCUGCGAAGCCCUGAGGCCGCGCGUGAGGACUGUGGCGCGGAGCGCGGCCUCGGUGCUCUCCGUGGGGCCGGUGACGCCGAGGCCGCGCCUGUCGCCACCGCUGCCCCUGCACCCUCCUCCCUCCCUCCGUCCGUUGCGGGCGCCCCCAUCCCCGUCCCGGGCUCGGGGAGACCCCACGGCCUGCUGUGGCCGGCGGUGAAGCCGCGUCUCACAUGGGCGUGGGAUCCAGUCCCGCUGCCCACCCCGACCCAGCUCUGCUGGUGGCCUGGGGAGGCAGCGAAGGUGGCCCAGGUGCUUGGGCCCGGAAGCUCCCAGCUGCCGGCCAGCCCAUCCGGGGAGCGAACUAGCGGGUGGAGGCCUCUGUCUCUCUAUCUCUGUUACUCUUUAAGAUAAAAAGAAAGAAAAUUUUUUGAAGAAGAACGGUGCUGUGGCUCCCUGCUUUAAAUGUGAUCACAACAGGCUGCCACCACAACGGCUGAGCCGAAGAUACGUGAGGUGCGGAGUAAGUGCCGGUCUGCGCCAGGGACCACCACCAUCAAGGCCGUGAGCAUCUCUCCCACUGUGAGGGGAGAUGGCGACGCUGGGCGGCGAGCUAGGAGUAGCGUGUGUGCUCACAGGGGCCCGAGGCAAAGGCAGGGCACGAGCAGCCCAGGCCCCAGGAACUGCCGGUGCUUCCAGCCUCCCCCAGGAGAACCCUGUCUGAAAACCUUGUGUCAGGAGUGCAGGAAACUUGACCUGCCUCGCUAAGCGUAAUGAGCUACAGAGCCUGACCCGCUCCCAGAUAGGACAAGCCGCGGCUGCACCACCCCCAGGGAGCACUGCCCGCGGCCGGCAGAGGCUACGGUGAAGCCACGGGCAACAGCCUCAGAGGGACUCCAGGCAGACUCCUGAGCGGCAGAGCGCGGACUCUUCCUCGGGCCCCUUCUGUGUUGGCCAGUUGCACUCAGACCCUCCCAGAGUGAGCCCCCUGGCCAGCCGACAUUGAGACUCCUACGAGACCUGCUUUCUCUGGCUCAGCGGCAUCGCGGCGCAGACUCUCAGAGCCAACUCCCUUCGGGUUGUGGUCGCCAGAGGAAUCCGCUCUCUGCAGGGUUUUUCUCCUGAGUGGGGUCUCUGAUGCCUGCGGAGGUCGGCCUCUGGUGAAAGGACUUUCCACAUUGCCUGCACUCACAGACGUGUCUCCAGUAGCUUGAUGCACCCCUGCUCUGCAGUGUGAAGACUCUCACGCACUCUGAGAGGUGGAGAGAGAGAGAG